UAGAAUGGAAAGGACGGUUACAAAAGAGGGGUAGGCAGGGAUGUAGUGACGCAAGCAUGGCACUGAGGAUUAUGGCUACACACGUGCUAAGAGGGGCGGUACAAAGGGCAGCGAGACUAUGAGGUCAAGCCACGCGCGUCGAGUUGUACUCAGUUCGGAUUCUAGUCGAGAUCUAGACUACAUACAGCGGGAAUAGCUAGUAAACGUAGAACAGCAUGCUACGGAGAAAACGUAAACGGGAC
rnacentral:rRNA from 1 species